rnacentral:rRNA from 1 species
AUUGAACGCUAGCGGGAGGCUUUACACAUGCAAGUCGAGCGGAGCGGCGGACGGGUGAGUAAUGUAUCGGAACGUGCCCGGUAGCGGGGGAUAACUACUCGAAACAGUGGCUAAUACCGCAUACUAUUGGAUGAGCCCAUAUGGGUUUAGCUAGUUGGUGGGGUAAAGGCUCACCUAGGCAACGAUCCGUAGCUGGUUUGAGAGGAUGAUCAGCCACACUUGGACGGAGACACGGCCCAGACUCCUACGGGAGGCAGCAGUGGGGAAUAUUGGACAAUGGGGGAAAGCCUGAUGCAGCCAUGCCGCGUGUAUGAAGAAGGCCUUAGGGUUGUAAAGUACUUUUGGCAGAGAAGCGGUAUCUGCAGAAGAAGCACCGGCUAACUACGUGCCAGCAGCCGCGGUAAUUC